GGCCAGUUAGCUCAGUAGGUUAGAGCGUGGCACUCGUAAUGCCAAGGUCAUGGGAUCGAUCCCUGUUUUGGCUG